CACGGAGUUAGCCGAUGCUUUUUCUUCGGAUACACGCAGUCCGGGACACGUCCCGGGUUUUGUUCUCCGACAAAAGAGGUUUACAACCCAUAGGGCCGUCUUCCCUCACGCGGCUUGGCUGGUUCAGGAUCUCUCCCAUUGACCAAUAUUCCUCACUGCUGCCUCCCGUAGGAGCCUGGUCCGUGUCUCAGUACCAGUGUGGGGGACCUUCCUCUCAGAACCCCUACGCAUCGUCGCCACGGUGGGCCGUUACCCCGCCGUCAAGCUAAUGCGCCGCAUGCCCAUCCUCUUCCGAUGAAUCUUUCCUCGAUCUCGGAUGCCCGAAACCGAUAUACGCGGGAUUAGCCUCCCUUUCGGAAGGUUGUCCCCCUGAAGAGGGCAGGUUGCAUACGUGUUACUCACCCGUGCGCCGGUCGCCGGCAAGGAAAGCAAGCUUCCCUCCCGAUGCCCCUCGACUUGCAUGUGUUAAGCCUGCCGCUAGCGUUCAUCCUGAGCCAGGAUCAAACUCU
rnacentral:rRNA from 1 species